rfam:Nicotiana sylvestris Nsyl_contig135855, whole genome shotgun sequence.
AUGUCAUGAUGUGGGCAUUUUUUAGCAUUGCUUUUUAUCUUUUCCAAGCUUGAUAAACAAACUCGAUGUCUGUCUACAAGUAAUUAGAUAUAUCUUGUCUUAAUUU